CAGUCGAACGAAACUUCUUUAUCACCGAGUGCUUGCACUCACCGGUAAAGGGUUGAGUGGCGAACGGGUGAGUAACACGUGGGCAACCUGCCCAAAAGAGGGGGAUAACACUUGGAAACAGGUGCUAAUACCGCAUAACCAUAGUUACCGCAUGGUAGCUAUGUAAAAGGUGGCUAUGCUACCGCUUUUGGAUGGGCCCGCGGCGCAUUAGCUAGUUGGUAGGGUAAAGGCUUACCAAGGCAAUGAUGCGUAGCCGAAUUGAGAGGUUGAUCGGCCACAUUGGGACUGAGACACGGCCCAAACUCCUACGGGAGGCAGCAGUAGGGAAUCUUCCACAAUGGGCGAAAGCCUGAUGGAGCAACGCCGCGUGGGUGAAGAAGGUCUUCGGAUCGUAAAACCCUGUUGUUAGAGAAGAAAGUGCGUGAGAGUAACUGUUCACGUUUCGACGGUAUCUAACCAGAAAGCCACGGCUAACUACGUGCCAGCAGCCGCGGUAAUACGUAGGUGGCAAGCGUUAUCCGGAUUUAUUGGGCGUAAAGCGAGUGCAGGCGGUUCAAUAAGUCUGAUGUGAAAGCCUUCGGCUCAACCGGAGAAUUGCAUCAGAAACUGUUGAACUUGAGUGCAGAAGAGGAGAGUGGAACUCCAUGUGUAGCGGUGGAAUGCGUAGAUAUAUGGAAGAACACCAGUGGCGAAGGCGGCUCUCUGGUCUGUAACUGACGUUGAGGCUCGAAAGCG
rnacentral:rRNA from 1 species